GGUGUUUAUUACAUGGAAAAUCAUACAAAAGCAUCGGGACUUUUGCUUUUGGCUAGUGAAUGUGAGUAUCUGGUUUAUACGAUUUGUUACUUUACUUGUG